UACGGAGGGUGCGAGCGUUAAUCGGAAUGACUGGGCGUAAAGGGCACGCAGGCGGACUUGUAAGUGAGGUGUGAAAUCCCCGGGCUUAACCUGGGAAUUGCAUUUCAUACUGUGAGUCUAGAGUACUUUAGGGAGGGGUAGAAUUCCACGUGUAGCGGUGAAAUGCGUAGAGAUGUGUAGGAAUUCCGAAGGCGAAGGCAGCCCCUUGGGGAUGUACUGACGCUGAUGUGCGAAAGCGUGGGGAGCAAACAGG
rnacentral:rRNA from 1 species